UACGAAGGGUGCGAGCGUUAUUCGGAUUUAUUGGGCGUAAAGGGUGCGUAGGUGGCAUGUUAAGUCUGUUGUUAAAUUUUCCGGCCUAACCGGAAAUCUGCAAUGGAAACUGGCGUGCUUGAGAGUGGAAGAGGGAAGUGGAAUUCUCGGAGUAGCGGUAAAAUGCGUGGAUCUCGAGAGGAACACCGAUGGCGAAGGCAGCUUCCUGGUCCAUUUCUGACACUGAUGCACGAAAGCGUGGGGAGCAAACAGG
rnacentral:rRNA from 1 species